GAGCUGCCAUCAGCAGGUACACGACCGAAGCUCCAAAGAGGGUUACAAUGAUCGCCAUGGACACGACCACGCUGAAAUUUAUUUGGGGCAUUUGUACUGAAUAAAAGUGAUGGUGGUGAAGACGGUGUAGCAUUGGUUUUUUUUCCUACGUAUUCGAUGGUAGCCUAAGAGGCUAUUCUGGCUACGUGCGGACGGCAAGGUGAGCUCACGAGCUCAACCGGAGAGAAUUUGCCAACACAAGCCCUAGCAAGAGCAGUGCUUCGUUGAAUGCUAAUCGGAAUCGCAACAUACUGAGAAAGUUCGUUGAGUUACUCAGUGGGCUGUGUCUGUGGGUUAAAGUAUUAUUCGAAUUCUGGUGGAACAUGCAGUGUGCCUUUAAAUUUAUACCCAUCUCUUUCACGUACGUACUUAUGUAACACACAGCAUGCUUGUACAAUAUCUUCUAGUUAAAAAACUGGUUUGGGUAUGUACAAACAUCUUUAAAAUAGAUAUAGAAUAAUAUCGCUUGACAAAAGGAUCACAAAUGGCCGUCGAUUGGCUGCUAUAACUGGCCGCUCAAAUAUUUCGUUUGCCGCUUAUGGAGGAAAUCAAAUUUAGUGCAUCUGAAUGUACAUAUUAUGUACAUAUAUACCGUCCCGGAAGAAGAUAAAUUCAUAGAAUUUUAAUUAUUUUAUUCAUUAAUUAUAAUUUGUAUCAAAAUAAAAUAAUAUUUAGCAGCA